rnacentral:tRNA from 1 species
GAGGGGAGGUCGAACCAGCGAGAACUGCUAACUCUUGUAUCUGAGCAUAAAACCUCAGUCCCCUU